UGCAGUCGAGCGGACAGAUGGGAGCUUGCUCCCUGAAUGUUAGCGGCGGACGGGUGAGUAACACGUGGGUAACCUGCCUGUAAGACUGGGAUAACUCCGGGAAACCGGGGCUAAUACCGGAUGCUUGUUUGAACCGCAUGGUUCAAACAUAAAAGGUGGCUUCGGCUACCACUUACAGAUGGACCCGCGGCGCAUUAGCUAGUUGGUGAGGUAACGGCUCACCAAGGCGACGAUGCGUAGCCGACCUGAGAGGGUGAUCGGCCACACUGGGACUGAGACACGGCCCAGACUCCUACGGGAGGCAGCAGUAGGGAAUCUUCCGCAAUGGACGAAAGUCUGACGGAGCAACGCCGCGUGAGUGAUGAAGGUUUUCGGAUCGUAAAGCUCUGUUGUUAGGGAAGAACAAGUGCCGUUCAAAUAGGGCGGCACCUUGACGGUACCUAACCAGAAAGCCACGGCUAACUACGUGCCAGCAGCCGCGGUAAUACGUAGGUGGCAAGCGUUGUCCGGAAUUAUUGGGCGUAAAGGGCUCGCAGGCGGUUUCUUAAGUCUGAUGUGAAAGCCCCCGGCUCAACCGGGGAGGGUCAUUGGAAACUGGGGAACUUGAGUGCAGAAGAGGAGAGUGGAAUUCCACGUGUAGCGGUGAAAUGCGUAGAGAUGUGGAGGAACACCAGUGGCGAAGGCGACUCUCUGGUCUGUAACUGACGCUGAGGAGCGAAAGCGUGGGGAGCGAACAGGAUUAGAUACCCUGGUAGUCCACGCCGUAAACGAUGAGUGCUAAGUGUUAGGGGGUUUCCGCCCCUUAGUGCUGCAGCUAACGCAUUAAGCACUCCGCCUGGGGAGUACGGUCGCAAGACUGAAACUCAAAGGAAUUGACGGGGGGCCCGCAC
rnacentral:rRNA from 1 species